CCUAAAUUCCACUAAAUGGGUCGACCCUAAACCACAUACCCUAAUUAUACAGAUGAAUCCUCCAUUUACUCUAUCCAACAAUCCGACGUCCUGAUCGAUCCCUAUUUGAUCGAGUUUCAUAACCGGAUGAUUAUGAACGAAUCAUACCGACCGUCUCGAAUCUUCGACGACGAUCUUCCGAUUUUGUCAGACACCGACGAUUUUCAGAGUGCAGAAACUGUUAGUCUUCUGCGGUUAUGUGAUGGCCUCUCAUCCAUCUGGAAAUGAGAAAUUACGUUUAGUCGUUUGGGUUUUCGAUUGAUUGCAAUAGCUGGCGUGCCACCACUCAUAUAAUAGCUUAAUCGGUGGAGUUGUUACCGCCACUGCCGCCAGACUGAUAUGAUACUUUCAGAUGCUAGACGACAGUUGAUGUUAAGUUUCCGGCACCUGAUUGAGUUCGUUAGAAAGAUGACGGGGUAUGGGCUCACGGGUCCGGUGAACAGAAAAGAGUAUAUUGAUUACUCGAGUACGAUUGAUAUUGAGUAGAAAACGAAUGCCAAGGAAGAAAAGCAAAGACGGAAAAACUUGAAAGAAUGCUUAUUUGUGUAAAGGUGAUGAGCCGAUUGUAUUUUUAAUCUCAAAUAAUGCAUGAAUGAUGAUUACAAUCGGUGAAGAUACAAUUGAAAAACUAAAGGGAUCAUGUUUUUACGAUAUUUAAGUAAACACAAAACACAAGCAGAAAACGGUGAAUGAAAUAAAGAACAAUGACAAAUUCAAAAGGCUAACCUGAUUUGCAAUGUGUUGCGGAAGGCUGACUAUAUGAACUUCAGAAACGUGAAACAAUGCACGACAGAGGGGAAUAAAAUCAGAGGUGAAGAAAACGAAAGCAGUAAGAGGAGGAAAACCACUGUGAUAUGCAAACAGAAUGUCAGGGACAACGUAUUCUGCAACAGCAAGGAGCCUUUACGUUCAACAGGGAUUACAAAAGGAAAUGAAGGGCAUUUUGGACAAUUUAGUUUAGUAAAAGAAGCGGGAAAAUUCGAUUUUGGGGGGCUUGGAGAUUGCCACGUGGCGAAAUUGUACUUAUUUAUUAGAUUAGGGGAUUAUCAAACUAAUAAUUACCAAAAUUUGAAACUAUUACUAAACCAACAAUUACCAACAUUUUAAACAAUUACCAAAAUUAAAUAGUCUUGUCACC